UACAGAGGGGGCAAGCGUUGUUCGGAAUUACUGGGCGUAAAGGGCGCGUAGGCGGCCUGCUAAGUCGAACGUGAAAUCCCCGGGCUCAACCCGGGAACUGCGUCCGAUACUGGUAGGCUUGAAUUCGGGAGAGGGAUGCGGAAUUCCAGGUGUAGCGGUGAAAUGCGUAGAUAUCUGGAGGAAUACCGGUGGCGAAGGCGGCAUCCUGGACCGACAUUGACGCUGAUGAGCGAAAGCUAGGGGAGCAAACGGG
rnacentral:rRNA from 1 species